CCCUGUCGCUGGUGAGGUCUGUGCCUGACAGCGAUAACUUUGGGACGGCAUUCGUGGAGGUCCUAAGUGGUGCAGGAGCCCUCAGAAACGCGUGUCCCUCAGCACCCGAGCAGAGCACGUCUCUCAGCUUGCUGGUGGAGCGCUUGGACAACUUUUCCCAGCGAUUUUCUUGAGAUCCUGCCAAUUUGAGACAAAUGGAGAGAGGCUGAAAGAAAAACGCACACAAUCUUUGUUGACCCUUCGCGGUGAGGAUGCCGAUGGGACCCCAUCUUCAGGCUUAGUUUGAGCUCCACAAGCUGACAGUGAGAACAAGAAGCUCGGCAGGAUCAGGGCAGAGUAUUACAGGAUGAACUAAAAUAUCCUGUAUUAAAAAGAUUGGGUGAAAUCAGCUUCUCUGCACUGGAAGCGCUCCGUACUGCCCGGAUCCCGGUGCCGCUCGUGGUGGGAGGAGCGCAGCUCCCGGCCUCCCUGGGACCCGCUCCCGGAUACAGCGGGCGAAAUGGAGAUAUGCCAGCGGCACCUUGAAGCGGCGUGCCUGCUGCGCUCGGGGACUCCGGGUCAGCUGUCCUUGCUGGGCGCUCUGCUGGGACGUGCCGCACUGCGAGAGCUGGGAGCUUCGCCGAGCAGGACCCACGGGGGAGGCCGGCGUGGAGAGCUCGCGUGGGCACCGCUCUGCGCCGGGUCCGCACGAAACCGUUAGCUCUGGGAGCAAAGCGUUGCUGGAGCGCGCGUUUCCAAUGCUGCAGACGAGUGAAGCGUUGGGGUUUUUUGUGCUCUGGUUUGGAUGCGAGGUUUAAAAAGAGCCUGCCCUAAAAUACACAUUUCACUGUCCAGGCAAAAACAAAUGAUUUGCGUAUUUCGAUGGCAGUGUCGUUGCUGCAGUAGGGCUCCUGCUGCUGGGCUUUCCCCAGGCUGCCGUGUUUUGGGUUCAGACCGCAUCUAUCUGGAUUUUCACCUUCCUUCGUGGGUCUGACUCUGUUCAUAGUCCUUUCAAUAACAGCCCUACAAGCGUUUUUCACUGCUCUUAUUACAGUUGUAUUUAAUCCCUCAGCACCUUCAGUUCAGGUCUUACACCUGGACUUGCAAGAAGUAUGAUUUUAAGGCCCUGCGCAGGUGUUUGCUACCUCCCUGCAGCCCAGCCUGGCUGCGCUGGGCCCGGUCAGCAGCGGGAGCCACGGGGGCCGGCCCCGCGGCAGUGCACGGAGGGGUGGCCCCAGCCCGGCGUGGGGCCGGGGCACGAUGCCCUCUCCCACUCUCCAAAGAGCACUUUGUGUUCAGGUUUCGCUGGCGGGGAGUACCCUGCACCUAAGCAGAAAAAGGUAAAACUUGCAUGUAUGGGGGCUUGCACCAGUGUACCUACAAGAGCUUGAAACCGAAGUACUGUAAGCUGAGCUGAGAUGCUCAGGUAGGUGAAGCCCAAGUGGCGCCAGGCCAGGCCAGGCGUGCAGCCGGAGGCCGGACCGACGACCGCAUCUGUGCACGUCCUGGCUCCCGGCUCCCUCCCCGACAGGCCGGUUGCAGAUCCCAGCGGGCUGCGUGCACAGGGGCCUCUCGCGUGUGCUCGGUUGCAUUUUGGGGGGAAGAGGCUGCGUGCUGCGUAGGGGGGCCUCUGCUGCCCCAGAGGCGUCAAACUGCGAAACGUCACCUCCGAAGCGGAGCGCUGGCAGCCUGCCUCCAAAAUCCGUGGUCUGGCGAGAGGCGAGGCACGGGCUCGGCAUCGCCGGGAUCAGCCAUCCCGACCCCGCGGGGAGACCCCGGCGGCACCGGGCGCCGUGAGGCCUCUGCUGGCGUUAACCUCGCGUCUUCCCGCGGCGCUGGCUGGAGAGGCUGGUUUGUAACCGAGCUGGGGGUGCCGGUAAUCCGUAAAAGAAAGAUGGACAAGCUGUUACAUUGUUAUAUUUCGCUACCUAUCAUUUUAAUGUCACUUUUAAUGUAUGAAUUAUACCCCCAUCGUGUGUAAUUAUAUUUCUCCUCCCAGCCCUGCUCAAGGAACAAUGGUGAGAUGAUGCUGUUAAUAUUAAAAACAGCACAUCUCUCUCAAAAAAAGUUAGAGGUCACACCUUAUUUCCUAGUGCAUGAGGAUAGUUAAUCAAAAGAUGAUGGGACUGGAAUGAGUCCUGCACAAUUUCUUGUGGAAUUUAAUUAGAAAGGAUGUAUUAACAGCAUCUGUAUGUGCAACUCUGUUUUGCCUUGUAAUGUGGAUAGCCAUACCUGGAGCCAGGUUCAUGGAAAGCCUGUAUCUCUCUUUUUUUCUCUUUUCUUUUUAUAAAGGAAAAUAAUGAGUGAAAAUCAGUAAUAAUAAUACUUAAUAGCAAUAAACCCCAGCAGGAAUCAACUUCUUAUCAGUUCUCCUUAGAGUUUCUCUUUUAGGUCAAGAGAUGGUGCUAAUCGAUGAGGCAUUUUGCAAAAGUUCGUGCUCUACUUGUCCCAGUAAUGAACCUUCAACCUUUAAUUUUCUUAGCAGUGCAUAGUUCCUCGAUGGGAAAUUAACUGUGGGGGCCUUUAUCUUGGAGAACCAAUUAUUUAUGCUAACCGGGGUGUUCCCACUGCUUUGACUCCAGUCGCGGGUUGCUUGGGCAGGUCCAUUCCUGCGCUCUCCACUUGGUCACUGUGGGAUGUGCGCUGGCAUGAGAGCAAUGCCUUUAAACUAGUUUCUUCCAAAAAUUAUGUACUGCAGUCCAGCAGCAAAGACCUUAUUCUAGAUGCAGAUCCGUGGAGUACUGCUGCUGAAUGGCAUGAUGGGGACAUUUUUAAGUAGAGAUAUAAUUUAUUGUAACAAAGAGAAGUGGAUUUCUGUCCCUUCCCACUCAAUAUAGACUGAAUUUCUUA